rnacentral:rRNA from 1 species
UACGGAGGGUGCAAGCGUUAUCCGGAUUCACUGGGUUUAAAGGGUGCGUAGGAGGGCAGGUAAGUCAGUGGUGAAAUCUCCGGGCUUAACUCGGAAACUGCCGUUGAUACUAUCUGUCUUGAAUACCGUGGAGGUGAGCGGAAUAUGUCAUGUAGCGGUGAAAUGCUUAGAUAUGACAUAGAACACCAAUUGCGAAGGCAGCUCACUACACGAAUAUUGACUCUGAGGCACGAAAGCGUGGGGAUCAAACAGG